UUACGGCCAUAUCACGUUGAAACACCGGAUCCCGUACAAUCACCGAAAUUAAUCAAUGUCGAGCCUGAUAAGUAGCUAGAUGGAUAAUCGCUUGGGAAUACCAGGAGCUGUAAG